CAGUAGCCGCGGGAAUACGUAGGUCCCGAGCGUUGUCCGGAUUUAUUGGGCGUAAAGCGAGCGCAGGCGGUUAGAUAAGUCUGAAGUUAAAGGCUGUGGCUUAACCAUAGUACGCUUUGGAAACUGUUUAACUUGAGUGCAGAAGGGGAGAGUGGAAUUCCAUGUGUAGCGGUGAAAUGCGUAGAUAUAUGGAGGAACACCGGUGGCGAAAGCGGCUCUCUGGCUUGUAACUGACGCUGAGGCUCGAAAGCGUGGGGAGCAAACAGGAUUAGAUACCCCUGUAGUCCCUGUCUCUUAUACA
rnacentral:rRNA from 1 species